GACGAACGCUGGCGGCGUGCUUAACACAUGCAAGUCGAACGAAGUGGCGAAAGGGUGAGUAAUACGUGGGUAACCUGCCCUCCUUUUUGGGAUAAGCCUUUGAGACGGGGUCUAAUACCGAAUAAAGGGGGAUGGGCUCGCGGCCUAUCAGCUUGUUGUUGGGGUGAUGGCCUACCAAGGCGGUGACGGGUAGACGGCCUGAGAGGGUGAACGGACAGAUAGGGACCGAGGAAGCGGCCAGAAGCCAGCGGGAGGCAGCAGUGGGGGAUGUUGCACAAUGGGAGAAAGCAUGAUGCAGCGAGGCCGCGUGGGGGAUGAAGUCUUUAGGGUUGUAAACCUCGUUCGCAAUCGAACGGGUAGGUGGAGAGGAAGCGCCGGCUAACUACGUGCCAGCAGCCGCGGUAAUUC
rnacentral:rRNA from 1 species